AACUCUUUUUUUCUACAAGUUUUGCAUAUAUGUUCCUAAAAGUAAGGACUCCAAAGAAACUUAUAUGAAUAUUACGUUUGUGUACAUAUAUAUAGUAUUGUUUUCCCCAACAACAGAAAAUAUAGUAUUAUAUCACAGAUCAGUGAUACAUCUGCAGGCUAUUCCUUAAUUUGAAGGCAUGAUAAAUAAAAUUUAUACUCGUUUGAGAAUAUGAAUAUCACAUCAUCUAAUACUGCCGUUGCUGAAUAUUUCUACUCCGGUUAUCGAUGCCCUGUGUGCGGGCUUUGUGGGUAUGCACAAAGUGUAAAUGCACCAGGUCCUUAAUUUUUAUUAAAACUUCUUUAUUAUUUUAUGGCCUGAAUUUUAAAAUUACUAUAGAUAAAAAAAAGGUCUAAUUUUAAAGUGAUAAACAAACAUAGCAUGCAGAAAAAUGUUUUAUGGCACAGGGGCUCACCCAUCUUGAGCCGGGCCUAAGAUCAUAUGCUAAAAAUAGAGCUUCACGAUAGAAAAAUAUUGUUUUUCUUGGAUAAAAAUGUGAACUUCGUUACUAUUGUUAUGUAAGAUUGAUACAUUAUUACUUGUAUCCCAAUCUACUUAACCAAGCAAAAGGUAUCAAAAAGAUAAUUAGGUGUAAAAGGUAUUGAUUACGUAUUCCCUCGGCAAAAGACACUUCUGGCAAAAAAAAAAAAAAAAAAAAAAAAAAAAAAAUCAAAGCCAUCGGAUAGGGAGGACACAUUGUUUAACGAUCUAAAACAUCAGUAUAGAUACACAUAUUUUGACCAAAACCAAAAAAAUGUAACACAUGGAUCUCUAAAAUAAUAUUAUUUUAAUUAUUUUUUAUUUUGUAAUUUUUUUUAGAAAAGACAAACUACUAGUUUAGAACAAAUGUGACUUGGAUCUCUCCUAAAAUUUUGAAAGUCUAUAAAAAAGUGCUCUUGAAUCUCUCUCUCU
rnacentral:lncRNA from 1 species